UACGUAGGGUGCGAGCGUUGUCCGGAAUUAUUGGGCGUAAAGAGCUCGUAGGCGGUUUGUCGCGUCUGCUGUGAAAUCCCGAGGCUCAACCUCGGGCCUGCAGUGGGUACGGGCAGACUAGAGUGCGGUAGGGGGAGACUGGAAUUCCUGGUGUAGCGGUGAAAUGCGCAGAUAUCAGGAGGAACACCGAUGGCGAAGGCAGGUCUCUGGGCAUUAACUGACGCUGAGGAGCGAAAAGCAUGGGGGAGCGAACAGG
rnacentral:rRNA from 1 species